GUGUACCUUCCAAAAAAGAAAUGAUAAAUUGUAGAUGCCGAUUGCUAUUAUUAGUCCCUUUUAACCAUCUCAGGUCUUGUUACUUUACUUUGCAAUAACAAGUCUGAGCUGUAAAAUAGUUCUGAAAAGAAGAUGCAUUGCUGCCUAUAUAUAGAAUGGUUGGGAGUUGGGACUGGGUAGCCUUCAAAGAUUACCUUAACCACCCUUUACCAUGAUCGUAAGUGUUCCUUUUCUCUUUCUACCAAUGUUUAUUAACUAGUUGAUGUUAUAAACAUUUGUCGCUUUUUGGUUUCAGGAUACGGGUUUCAUGGAUGGAGUUAUUAAUGGUGCUAUUAGCAUCUCAGCGGUACAAAUUGGAAUUCUUUUAACCUCUUAUGUGAAAUGUGCCUUGUUUUUGGAUCAUUUUUAUACUCUAAAGCUUAUUUGCUUGGUUCAGAAUUAGUACAGCAUAGUAUAUAUUUUGGUGCAUGCAUGAGUUGGACAAUUUUUCUUUUUCGAAUGCUUUACUCACUGACUUUAAUCUGUACUUGUUGUCGCUAAUCAAACAGUGGAUUUGCUAUAUGGAUAGGUCCUCUCAUAAUCCACUACUGAGAUUGAAGGCUUUUUUUGGAUCACUAUAUCGUUGUUAACCCUGAAAACAAUGACCAGCUUGAAUUGAUCCUAGGAUUUGCUAAGCGUGCUGGCUUUGUAGGUGGUGUGGUUGUUGAUUUUUCCCCACAGGAAGGAGAUUUCUAGAUACAAAGACCUUGACUGUAGUAGAAACUCGGUGAAUGGUGGAUUGGUGGCUGAAGGGGAGUUUCCACUUGCUGCAUUUCAUGGAGGGGAGGAGAUUUCUAGAUACAAAGAUCUUGACUGUAGAAGAAGAAGAUAAAAAGCAAUCAAUGUUUACUGGUCUACACAAAUUAAAAGGCAACCACCAACAUUGUUCCGCAACACUGGCAACCAAACAAUGGUCUUCUUAUGACCAAUGGUAUCACAGGAGUCAGGUCUCAACCUUGAAGAAGCAGUUCGAUGCAUAGCUCUCUCAAGGAAUGACACACAUGUAAUGUCCGCAACCGGUGGAAAGAUAUCACUAUUUAACAUGAUGACUUAUAAGGUAAUGACAACAUUUGUGCCACCUCCACCAGCUUCAACAUACGUAGUGAAGUCAUCCAAUGUGGUUUUUGAGUAUGUUGAUGGUUUCAGGAGGCUUGAUAGGCGAUCUUCAAGAGAUUCUACAAGACCUGAUUCAUUUCCUUGUCAGGCUUCUCCCUAAAUCUAAGGUAAUGAUAAUCGUCUUUGUGUGCUUAGUGAUUCUGGUCUUAUUGGUUCUUGGGUUCAUGAUGAGAUUGGCACACAUGGUUAUCCUUUUUAACCACUACUCCUUUGCAAGGUACAAUCUAAUUAAUCGGUUAGCACUUAGCCUCUUUAAUAACUGCAGCAAUAGCAACUUGUAUUACAGUAAACAACAAUGAAUUCCUAGUACCUACCACAGCAACAGAUUCUAAUGCUUGGCCACAACAACAACAGAUUCUAGUGCUGCAAAAAGCAUAUUCUAAUACCACAUCAUCGGUAAGCCUUGACUUAUCAUGAGAUUUUUUUUUUAAUUCAUUCUAUAUUAAGGCAAAUCCUCAAGAUAAAAAUGAAGUUGAAAUUUGCGCAAUUUUGGUUCACUUGUGUAUGAGAUUGAUUAUGAGUUCUGACAUACUAUCAAACUACUUUUUUUGUAAAU